GCUGGGUGCGGUGGUGCGAGCCUGUAAUCCCAGCAGCUCAGGAGGCUGAGACUGGAAGAUUGCAAGUUCAAGGCCAGCCUCAGUAACUUAGUGAGGCCCUAAGCAACUUAGCAAGAUGCUGUCUUAA
rnacentral:sRNA from 1 species